rnacentral:rRNA from 1 species
AGAAUCAACGCUGGCGGCGUGCCUAACACAUGCAAGUCGCACGAGAAAGUGGAGCAAUCCAUGAGUAAAGUGGCGCACGGGUGAGUAACACGUGAAUAAUCUACCUCCGAGUGGGGAAUAACUGAGAGAAAUCUUAGCUAAUACCGCAUAACACUUACGAGUCAAAGCAGCAAUGCGCUUGGAGAGGAGUUCGCGGCAGAUUAGUUAGUUGGCGGGGUAAUGGCCCACCAAGAUGAUGAUCUGUA